UGCUUAACACAUGCAAGUCGAACGGGCUCUUCGGAGCUAGUGGCGGACGGGUGAGUAACGCGUGAGAAUCUGCCUUCAGGAUGGGGAUAACGACUGGAAACGGUCGCUAAUACCCCAUAUGCCUACGGGUGAAAUGUUUUUCGCCUGAAGAUGAGCUCGCGUCCGAUUAGCUAGUUGGUGAGGUAAGAGCUUACCAAGGCAACGAUCGGUAGCUGGUCUGAGAGGAUGAUCAGCCACACUGGGACUGAGACACGGCCCAGACUCCUACGGGAGGCAGCAGUGGGGAAUUUUCCGCAAUGGGCGCAAGCCUGACGGAGCAAGACCGCGUGCGGGAUGACGGCCUAAUGGUUGUAAACCGCUUUUCUCUGGGAAGAAGAUGACGGUACCAGAGGAAUAAGCCUCGGCUAACUCCGUGCCAGCAGCCGCGGUAAUACGGAGGAGGCAAGCGUUAUCCGGAAUUAUUGGGCGUAAAGCGUCCGUAGGUGGUUCAUCAAGUCAGCUGUUAAAGAGCGGAGCUCAACUCCGUCGGAGCGGUUGAAACUGGUGAACUAGAGUUUGGUAGGGGUCGAGGGAAUUCCCAGUGUAGCGGUGAAAUGCGUAGAUAUUGGGAAGAACACCGGUGGCGAAAGCGCUCGGCUGGGCCAAAACUGACACUGAGGGACGAAAGCUAGGGGAGCGAAAGGGAUUAGAUACCCCUGUAGUCCUAGCCGUAAACGAUGGGUACUAGGUGUUGCUCGCGAUCGACCCGAGCAGUGCCGUAGCUAACGCGUUAAGUAUCCCGCCUGGGGAGUACGCUCGCAAGAGUGAAACUCANAGGAAUUGACGGGGGCCCGCACAAGCGGUGGAGUAUGUGGUUUAAUUCGAUGCAACGCGAAGAACCUUUCCGGGUUUGCAUCCCGCGAAUCUCUGUGAA
rnacentral:rRNA from 1 species